GAUGAACGCUGGCGGCGUGCCUAAUACAUGCAAGUCGAGCGAACAGACGAGGAGCUUGCUCCUCUGACGUUAGCGGCGGACGGGAGAGUAACACGUGGAUAACCUACCUAUAAGACUGGGAUAACUUCGGGACACCGGAGCUAAUACCGUAUAAUAUAUUGCACCGCAUGGUUGAAUGGUGAGAGACGGUUUUGCUGUCACUAAUAGAGGGAUACCGGCUGUAUUAGCUAGUUGUUAAGGUAAAGGCUUACCAAGGGGACGAGGCGUAGCCGACCUGUGAGAGGGAUAGCCCACCCUAGAACGGAACCACGGUCCAGACUCCUGCGGGAGGGAGCAGUAGGGAAUCGUCCGCAGUGGGCGGAAGCCUGACGGAGCAGGGCGGCGUGAGUGACGACGGUGUUCGGAUCGGAAAACUCUGUUACUAGGGAUAAACAAAUGUGUAAGUAACUAUGCCCGGCGUGACGGUACCUAAUCAGAAAGCCCCGGCUAACUACGUG
rnacentral:rRNA from 1 species